UACGUAGGGUGCAGGCGUUAAUCGGAAUUACUGGGCGUAAAGCGUGCGCAGGCGGUUUCUUAAGUCAGAUGUGAAAGCCCCGGGCUUAACCUGGGAACUGCGUUUGAAACUGGGAGACUAGAGUGUGGCAGAGGGGGGUGGAAUUCCACGUGUAGCAGUGAAAUGCGUAGAUAUGUGGAGGAAUACCGGUGGCGAAGGCGGCAUCCUGGACCGAGAUUGACACUGAUGAGCGAAAGCUAGGGGAGCAAACGGG
rnacentral:rRNA from 1 species